rnacentral:lncRNA from 1 species
UCCAUAAAAAGCUAUAAAAGUAAAUUUAUUUCAUUAAUUUCCCUGAUUUUUGUGUCCCCAAACGUAUCCAAAUUGCAACUGCCUUACAGCCCUGAGUCGUACUGUAUAAAAAGUAUACAAAAUUGUACUUCAAAGUAAACUAUAAAACAAAAACAAACAAAAAAACACUAAUAAGAAACAAUGGAAACAAGUUAAAAUUAGAUGUCAGAUGGCAAGCCAAAGUUGCAGAUGCACAGACACAGAUACAGCUAGAGAUGGAGAUAGAGACAAGUGUACAAAGAGCUAAAGAGAGAAACAGAAAUGUAGUUAUAGAGGAAGCAAAUUAAUAGUGUCUGUGUCUGUGUCUGUGUCUGUGGAUGGGCUUUUGGCUCUGGCUCUGGCUUGGGCAAUUAAACUCCACUCAAAACUGGGCCGACACGAACAGACCUAAAUAGUCGACGAUACAUACGCAUACCUAUCAUACAAUACAUAUACAAACAAACACAUAAGAUACACACACAUAAACUUGCAUUAGCCAACCAUAUUGUGACUUACAACAAACAACAAGCAAACGCGAAACUUAGCCAGCUAAACAAAUUGAUAUAGACGAUCUACAUAGUACAUACAAUAUACCACACAUACGGGUAUAAUAAACACUAUACCGACUACGCCUAUGCCGCAGCAUAACCACUAACUAGGCCAUCAGCAAGUUAUAUAAAUAAUGAAAUAAAAAUAUAUAUUUACGGGUAGUACGAGUAUGUAUAGAUACAUGUGCAAUCCAUCCGGUAUGCGCGAUGGCACGGAGCGGUGGAUUGCAUACCGAAAACCAAACGAGAAAAUUAUUUCCAGCAGUUCGAGCGCUGAAUUAACAAAAAACUUAUCGAGCAUGAAAAAUGCCAACAAGUUAGAAAUCUAUUAAAACAAAAACGGAAAAAAUUACAAAAAAAAAAAACAAACUAUGAAUUAUUAUCAAUUCUGCUGUGAAACAAAUUAAAUAUUUAACACAAAGAUCUUUCUUAAUUUACUGGAAAUCCUCUUGUGAAUGUUUUAUAUUUUUUUUGUUGCUUGUGCUCUUCAGACAGCUGCUAAUUAUGGUUAGGAUUUAGGCUAAGAAUCGAAACUGCCAAGGCCACAGAACAGAUCUUUCAUUUAAUUGUUCGCAAAUACUCAGAUGAGAAAUAUAACUAAAAUCUUGUGG